CAGUAGCCGCGGUAAUACAGAGGAUGCAAGCGUUAUCCGGAAUGAUUGGGCGUAAAGGGCUCGCAGGCGGUUUCUUAAGUCUGAUGUGAAAGCCCCCGGCUCAACCGGGGAGGGUCAUUGGAAACUGGGAAACUUGAGUGCAGAAGAGGAGAGUGGAAUUCCACGUGUAGCGGUGAAAUGCGUAGAGAUGUGGAGGAACACCAGUGGCGAAGGCGACUCUCUGGUCUGUAACUGACGCUGGGGAGCGAAAGCGUGGGGAGCGAACAGGAUUAGAUACCCGUGUAGUCCCUGUCUCUUAUAA
rnacentral:rRNA from 1 species